ensembl:snoRNA
CAGCAUGUUUCCAAUAAGUAUGAAAGGCAGUGGUCAUUUGAUUUCCAAUAGCAUGUGAGGAUAACCUGGAGAGACUCUGACAGCUCAGGUCAGCAUAAUACCUGUAGCUGCCAUCCACUUCUAAUAUAUAU